UAUCUGACAUUAAAAAUGAAAACAUCUCAACCUGACUGCAGUCUUUGUCAGAACUGCUGAUACAAAUGAAAAACAUUUAAUUUAACCUAGAAGAACAAUGUCCAAACUCAAUAAUCACAACAUUUUGAAAGCAUUUUCCCAACCCUGAAGUAUAACAAGUCCAUAGCAAUCCUUGUGUUGGUUUGUUUCAAGUGUUGAAUAAGGUAAACAUCAGAUCAGUCCAAGCUUCCCACGGGGGGAAACUAUCAGUAAAGCAGCCACGUUUCAGGCCAAAGAUCAAGUAUGAUGUCAACAAUGCUUACAGUCACAUAGUCUCUUAAUGUGAUCUCAUUGAUCAUAAAAGUACAGUGGAGAUGAUCCAGGUGAACACAGGCAUCUUGCACAUAAAAUAUGUCCAGUUGUUGCAAGCCCUGGCAGUGCAGUGUGGUUUAGUCCAGAGAAGGAGCUCACAUAUCCGCCUACUGCAUGCCCAGGUGCCUGGUGGGAGAUGCCUGACCUGGGCAUCCGGUGACUGGAGAGACUGACAGGCCCCGGAAGAGGAGGUCCAUGGAGGGCAGGAGGGGCUUCAGAAGACUGACGGGGCAGAAAGCAGAGCCUCCGUGGGGGGUGAAGUUAACUUUAUUGGGGUCAGGGCAGGAUGGCUGGAGGAGAGGCUCAUCCUGACAGGCAGCAGAUCUGUGGGGAAAGAGAAGAGUUGGCAUACUUAAGGAUGAAUAAAACCUUCUCACAUUUUAUCAAAAAGACAAAAGAGCAGAGACUUACCUGGGAGAUGCCCGCUCCGUGACCCCCUGGCAGGGGGUGGUGGCGUGUGAGAUCACAUCCAGCCGGGGGAGGGGCGUGGCGGGAACGCUUCUGCAACUGGUGCCUCAGCUUUGCCACCUGAAAAAUGAAUCAGGAGUCAGUUUGAUUCAUUCUGACAAAGGGGAGGUCACACGUCAGCCUCAGGGGCUGUUAAUGUUUCACAACAUGAAGAGGGGGCGUGCAGAGCGAGGGAGCAGGAGACAGAGGAAGAGUUCAUGAACUGAGCGGUGAUGAGCUGGAGUACUCACCUCCCUGAGGUGCUCCGCGCUGCCCCAUGACGCUGAGCGCUUGUGUCCAACGGAGCUUCUCCUCCCUCGGGUCUCAUCGGCCCAGGAGCUCGGAGUCUUGGCAGAAACAAUAUAAUCACAGUGAGCUCCACGGCUUCUUAUAUCACUUGUAUGAUCGUACCGAUUUCUUCACAUUGACUCUGGAUCUUCUACCAGGUGGAGUCUGGUCCACCGCUCCAGCGUGCUGGCAGUUCAUCAUCACCCGUCGAAACCCAGACUGAGUUGACACCCAGGACCAGGACCUGCAGUCCUCCACACUUCGAGUCAGCUGCUUCACACGCUCAGGAACAAUCUGAUCCCCUCACUGCUUGUCCGUACCAUUCAUGAGGCGGCUAACAUUACACACAGUCAUGUAGCUCUCACUGCCUGACUUAGGCCCAUGUCAUCCCCCCCCAACAAAUACAACUUGUCCUUUGGGUGUCUUCUUCACAACUCAGAGAAAUCCUAUCAGUGCUUGAGAGGCACAGACACCAUCUUGUAGACUAACAUGCAGUUCAUCGCCCGGCUGAAUAAGUCAGAACGCCGUAUGAGUCAGUCAUACAGUGACAUGGGUGUUGUGUUACAGCUGCUGACCCCCACAAUCAUCCAAAACAUGAACAGGGGGGAUCAUGGGACUCAAAGCUAUAAAAAGACUGACUGGUUGGCAUAGCUUGUGUUUCCAUCUUGAACGUCUCAUUAGCGUAUUCAAUUCCUGAUUGCAACAUGGCAUAGUUAAUAAAAUAGUGCCUGUA